rnacentral:misc_RNA from 1 species
UCCGAGUUGUCCCCGGCAGUCUCCUUAGAGUCCCCGCCAUUACGCGCUGGCAACUAAGGACAGGGGUUGCGCUCGUUGCGGCACUUAAGCCAACACCUCACGGCACGAGCUGACGACAGCCAUGCAGCACCUGUGCUGGCCCCUUACGGAGCCCUGCUUUCACAGGGUUUAACCAGCAUGUCAAGCCCAGGUAAGGUUCUUCGCGUUGCAUCGAAUUAAGCCACAUGCUCCGCCGCUUGUGCGGGUCCCCGUCAAUUCCUUUGAGUUUUAGCCUUGCGGCCGUACUCCCCAGGCGGGGCACUUAAUGCGUUAGCUACGGCACAGGAUCCGUUGGACAGACCCCACACCUAGCACCCAUCGUUUACGGCGUGGACUAC